rnacentral:tRNA from 1 species
GCGAAGGUGGCGGAAUUGGUAGACGCGGUAGCUUCAGGUGUUCGUGUCCUUACGGACGUGGGGGUUCAAGUCCCCCCCCUCGCACCA